UACGUAGGGUCCGAGCGUUGUCCGGAAUUAUUGGGCGUAAAGGGCUCGUAGGCGGUCUGUCGCGUCGGGGAGUGAAAACUUACAGCUUAACUGUGAGCGUGCUUCCGAUACGGGCAGACUUGAGGUAUUCAGGGGAGAACGGAAUUCCUGGUGUAGCGGUGAAAUGCGCAGAUAUCAGGAGGAACACCGGUGGCGAAGGCGGUUCUCUGGGAAUAUCCUGACGCUGAGGAGCGAAAGUGUGGGGAGCGAACAGG
rnacentral:rRNA from 1 species